ACGAACGCUGGCGGCAUGCCUAACACCUGCAAGUCGAACGAGACCUUCGGGUCUAGUGGCGCACGGGUGCGUAACGCGUGGGAACCUGCCCUUAGGUUCGGAAUAACUCCCCGAAAGGGGUGCUAAUACCGGAUAAUGUCUUCGGACCAAAGAUUUAUCGCCUUUGGAUGGGCCCGCGUUGGAUUAGCUAGUUGGUAGGGUAAAAGCCUACCAAGGCGACGAUCCAUAGCUGGUCUGAGAGGAUGAUCAGCCACACUGGGACUGAGACACGGCCCAGACUCCUACGGGAGGCAGCAGUGGGGAAUAUUGGACAAUGGGCGAAAGCCUAAUCAAGCAAUGCGGGGUGAGUGAUGAGGCCUUAGGGUUGUAAAGCUCUUUUACCCGGGAUGAUAAUGACAGUACCGGGAGAAUAAGCUCCGGCUAACUCCGUG
rnacentral:rRNA from 1 species